UACGUAGGGGCAAGCGUUGGUCCGGAUUCAUUGGGCGUAAAGAGCGUGUAGGCGGCCAGGUAGGUCGGUUGUGAAAACUGGAGGCUCAACCUUCAGAGGUCGACCGAAACCAUCUGGCUAGAGUCCGGGAGAGGAGAGUGGAAUUCCUGGUGUAGCGGUGAAAUGCGCAGAUAUCAGGAAGAACACCCGUGGCGAAAGCGGCUCUCUGGAACGGUACUGACGCUGAGACGCGAAAAGCCGUGGGGGAGCGAAACAGGG
rnacentral:rRNA from 1 species